GUUCUGUCUGUCCUUUGUCCCACACCUGUGAAGAUAAGCUAUCAAUUUACAUUACCAGGGUGAAAUUCAACAGAAAUGCUUUUGGAUAAAGAUGUUCAGGCCCACAGGGAAUUUCCUUGUUGACAAAUUGUGAAGGAGGAAGUUGAGUGAGGCCUGAGACAGCAAUGUUUCGUUUAGCCUGGCGGUGGCCCUCCUUGUCUUCAAGAAGAGCAUCCGUGGCUAGCAGUGGAAGAUGGGGUUGGGCCCCAGAGACGCGAUCUUACUGCAUUGACCAGGAUGGUCUCAAACUCCUGGCUACAGGCUAUCCUCCUGCCUCUGUCUCCCAAAGCGCUGGGAUUACAAGCGUGAGCCACCAGGCCUGGCCCAAUUGCUUCUUAACAACUUACUAUUCUUUGUUCACUACAGUGUAUACAUAACUGACUUUUUAUUUGGAUCUUCAUUUUGUAAUGAAGGCUCUGGUCACAUGUAAGACUUGUAUUAAAUAAAUUUGCC
rnacentral:lncRNA from 1 species